GUAGCUCAAUUGGCAGAGCGUCGGUCUCCAAAACCGAAGGCUGUGGGUUCGAUCCCCUCCACUCCUG
rnacentral:tRNA from 1 species